rnacentral:rRNA from 1 species
UACGUAGGGGCCGAGCGUUGUCCGGAGUUACUGGGCGUAAAGCGCGCGCAGGCGGCGGUUCAAGCCUGACGUGAAAGCCCCCGGCUCAACUGGGGAGGGUCACGCGAUACUGAUCGACUCGAAGGCAGGAGAGGGUAGUGGAAUUCCCGGUGUAGUGGUGAAAUGCGUAGAUAUCGGGAGGAACACCAGUGGCGAAGGCGACUACCUGGCCUGUUCUUGACGCUGAGGCGCGAAAGCUAGGGGAGCAAACGGG